CCUCUCCUCUCCUCUCUUUCCUUCCCUGCCCCCUUACCUUUAAUCUCGUAUUAGUGCUCUCUCUCUGCCAGCCAACCGGCCGCGGCAGCGCUCUUGCUCACAAUUCUUCGGCUAAUCGUCAGGUAAUGACUCUCUCCCCAUCACUCGGGCACUAACUCUCUCUACCACUCUUUCUCCCUCUCUCUCCCCCCUAGCCCCCAAUGAGCCUUUGCUGUGCAAAUUUGCUGACGGAGGGCAGAAGAAGCGCCAGAGCCAGAGCAAGUAUCCCCAGAACGGACGGCCGUGGCACCGGGACGGCGAGACCGGCAUGGCGCUGACCUAUGACCCCGCUGCCAUGCAGAAUGGGUUCUACUCCUCGCCUUACAGCAUCGCCACCAACCGCAUGAUCGCACAGACGUCCAUCACGCCCUUCAUCGCUGCCUCGCCUGUCUCCACAUAUCAGGUGCGUUGGCCACACACACACACACACACACAAACACACACACACACACACACA